UACAGAGGUCCCAAGCGUUGUUCGGAUUCACUGGGCGUAAAGGGUGCGUAGGUGGCCAGGUAAGUCGGAUGUGAAAUCUCGGAGCUCAACUCCGAAACUGCAUUGGAAACUGCCUGGCUUGAGGGUUGGAGGGGGGACUGGAAUACUUGGUGUAGCAGUGAAAUGCGUAGAUAUCAAGUGGAACACCAGUGGCGAAGGCGAGUCCCUGGACAACUCCUGACACUGAGGCACGAAAGCUAGGGGAGCAAACAGG
rnacentral:rRNA from 1 species